AUUCCAAAAUGUGUAUGGCAUAACGUUUUGCUUCCUCUAUCUGAUUCAUGGGAGGCCAAAACCAACGUUGCAAGUUUAUAAUACCUUCUUUUUCUUUAACUCCAGAAGAUGUUUUAUUAGUAACUUCGCUUACAUUU